rnacentral:rRNA from 1 species
GUCUUUUUGAUUUUAAUUUAAAGUUUAACCUGCCCAUUGAAAAUUUUUAAAAGGCUGCGGUAUUUUGACUGUACAAAGGUAGCAUAAUCAUUAGUUUUUUAAUUGAAAACUUGUAUGAAUGGUUGAAUGAGAAAUUAACUUUUUUAAAAAAAUAAUUGAAUUUUACUUUUUAAUUAAAAGGUUAAAAUAAAUUUAAAAGACGAGAAGACCCUAUAGAGUUUUAUAAUUUUUAUUUAAUAUUUAAAAAGAUUAAUUAAAAUUUUAUAAAAGAAAAUAUUUUGUUGGGGUGAUAAUAAAAUUUAAAUAACUUUUAUUUUUUUUUACAUUAAUAUAUGAAUUUAUGAUCCAUUAUUGAUGAUUAGAAAUUUAAAUUACCUUAGGGAUAACAGCGUAAUUUUUUUUUAAAGUUCAUAUUAAUAAAAAAUUUUGCGACCUCSAUGUUGGAUUAAGAUUUAAUUUUAGGUGCAGCAGUUUAAAUUUUAAGUCUGUUC